GCCGAAGCGGUGUGUUAACGGUACUUGCAAGUCAGAUGCGCAAUAUCCUCAAAGUUUAGAGGGUGGUGUUGUAUUUUUUCCAUCCUCAAAGCCUAAAACACAGGAGGAGAGAUGUCGGAUUUGGGUAAAACAAUAUGGAAGACCUCAUUCUCAGCUCAAUCCAUCGAAAAUAACUGUUAACUACUAUGUUUGCUCCAAGCACUUUGUGGAUGUCAGGUGUUGUGUCGAUUCCCCGCCGAGAUGUGUUCCCCCAGCCCCGCCCCCGUGCGGAAUGGUUCUUUUAGCAAGUUUGCGCCUGGAGACAGAAUUAAGGGAAUCAUGUGUCCGAAGUAACCAAGCGAAGAUGGAUGGCCUGGAUCUCUGCCGCAAGACGCACGGACAUACACUUUACAGACAUCCCAAGAUCUUUGAAAGUGUGUUCCAGGCAUUUUCAUUUGGGUAGACCAGCAUAUGAGAUGGACAAGGCUCACCCAGAUUGGGCUCCAACCCUGCACUUGGGUCACUCUGAAGUCACAGUCACAGCCACAGCAUCAGACUGACUGCAGUAAUGCCUGUAAUGCCUGCAGACAACAUUGACAUCAUAGGAAAGAAUCCAAGGGAGGAAGCCAAAAUGAACAAAACGACGUGAAUGGAGAUGAGAGAGAUGGAGUCUGAGAAGCUACAGAAGCUGCAGAAGAAGAGGGAUAUGGGAAUGAAGCAGAGGCAGGAGCUGCAGAGGAAGAAGAGCAUGGGGAUGCUAGAUGCUGCAGGACCGAUACUUAAAAGAACAUUUCACUUCCAGACAGCCCUUCCCACAGCAUUCAUGCAUAGUCAGGCCAUCUGGUGACACUCUGAUUUCAGGGAAGCUGCGGUUUGUUCGCCACUAGAUGGGGCUGUCGCAAUAUAGGCUAAUUGCUCCAAAAAGUGAUAUUGGCAGUAUGCCUCCCUGGUCCUAUUUAUUGCAACGGAAGGAAAGUUUUUCCCGUUUGCCACUAGAUGGGGCAAUGGCAGCAUAAUUUCUUGCUCCACAGCCAGUUUUAUUGACAGUAUGCCUCCUACUUGCUAUAACUGCCGUAUUUACAGA